rnacentral:rRNA from 1 species
GGUUAAGCGACUAAGCGUACACGGUGGAUGCCCUGGCAGUCAGAGGCGAUGAAGGACGUGCUAAUCUGCGAAAAGCGUCGGUAAGGUGAUAUGAACCGUUAUAACCGGCGAUGUCCGAAUGGGGAAACCCAGUGCAAUUCGUUGCACUAUCGUUAACUGAAUACAUAGGUUAACGAGGCGAACCGGGGGAACUGAAACAUCUAAGUACCCCGAGGAAAAGAAAUCAACCGAGAUUCCCCCAGUAGCGGCGAGCGAACGGGGAGCAGCCCAGAGUCUGAAUCAGCUUGUGUGUUAGUGGAACGGUCUGGAAAGUCCGACGGUACAGGGUGAUAGUCCCGUACACCAAAAUGCACAGGUUGUGAACUCGAAGAGUAGGGCGGGACACGUGGUAUCCUGUCUGAAUAUGGGGGGACCAUCCUCCAAGGCUAAAUACUCCUGACUGACCGAUAGUGAACCAGUACCGUGAGGGAAAGGCGAAAAGAACCCCGGCGAGGGGAGUGAAAAAGAACCUGAAACCGUGUACGUACAAGCAGUGGGAGCACCUUCGGGUGUGACUGCGUACCUUUUGUAUAAUGGGUCAGCGACUUAUAUUCUGUAGCAAGGUUAACCGUAUAGGGGAGCCGCAGGGAAACCGAGUCUUAACUGGGCGUUAAGUUGCAGGGUAUAGACCCGAAACCCGGUGAUCUAGCCAUGGGCAGGUUGAAGGUUGGGUAACACUAACUGGAGGACCGAACCGACUAAUGUUGAAAAAUUAGCGGAUGACUUGUGGCUGGGGGUGAAAGGCCAAUCAAACCGGGAGAUAGCUGGUUCUCCCCGAAAGCUAUUUAGGUAGCGCCUCGUGAACUCAUCUUCGGGGGUAGAGCACUGUUUCGGCUAGGGGGUCAUCCCGACUUACCAACCCGAUGCAAACUACGAAUACCGAAGAAUGUUAUCACGGGAGACACACGGCGGGUGCUAACGUCCGUCGUGAAGAGGGAAACAACCCAGACCGCCAGCUAAGGUCCCAAAGUCAUGGUUAAGUGGGAAACGAUGUGGGAAGGCACAGACAGCCAGGAUGUUGGCUUAGAAGCAGCCAUCAUUUAAAGAAAGCGUAAUAGCUCACUGGUCGAGUCGGCCUGCGCGGAAGAUGUAACGGGGCUAAACCAUGCACCGAAGCUGCGGCAGCGACACUAUGUGUUGUUGGGUAGGGGAGCGUUCUGUAAGCCUGCGAAGGUGACCUGUGAGGGUUGCUGGAGGUAUCAGAAGUGCGAAUGCUGACAUAAGUAACGAUAAAGCGGGUGAAAAGCCCGCUCGCCGGAAGACCAAGGGUUCCUGUCCAACGUUAAUCGGGGCAGGGUGAGUCGACCCCUAAGGCGAGGCCGAAAGGCGUAGUCGAUGGGAAACAGGUUAAUAUUCCUGUACUUGGUGUUACUGCGAAGGGGGGACGGAGAAGGCUAUGUUAGCCGGGCGACGGUUGUCCCG